rnacentral:tRNA from 1 species
CGCCGGGUAGCACGUAGCUGGAAGCGUCCCUCUCUCCUAAAGAGGAGUAGAAAUACCCCGUGGGUUCGAAUCCCACCCCGGUGA